rnacentral:rRNA from 4 species
UGACCCCAGGUUUGGUGGAGCAACCCGCUGAGUUUAAGCAUAUCAAUAAGCGGAGG